GAGGAGAGAAUUUCUUUGCAAAUCUUCACAGGUGCUGAAGAUGGAGAGCAAUUUUGAUGCCACAAAUGAAAGGGAAUGUAGUGUCUGCCUUUUUGAUUUGCACCUAUCUGCAGCAGGAUGUCCUUGUUCUCCAGAUAAGUAUGCAUGCUUGAAUCAUGCAAAGCAGAUGUGUUCAUGUGAUUGGGGUACCAAAUAUUUUCUAUUUCGCUAUGACAUCAGUGAAUUAAACAU
rnacentral:misc_RNA from 1 species